GGAAAGGCAACAGUGUGAACCGAGUGGUGGGAGGAAGUGUGACUGCAUGGAGCUCUUGUGCUCUGAAUGGACGCUUCGGAAGCCGGAAGAAGCUCCCAGGACGUAGUCCUGGCUGGCGUGUGAGGAAGGGUGGAGGCAUGUACCGACUUGGGCAAGACGAUCACUUUUUGCCCCUGGCUUUCCUAGCUUGGUGCCUCACACUUGCCUCCAGAGCCCUGAUUACGGAUUGACUGAUGCCAGUUAACCUACAGUUGAAGAUGACAGGCGGUGAAGUAGAGUGCGUUCGGGAGAAUCCGGGAACUGACAGAACUCGGGUCUCUGCAACCUUGGAGACUCUCUGGCUGGUCUCUCUCGGACCCUCCAGCUCGUUUCUGCCCUCCUGGGGACUCGCGCUCCGUCAUUAUCUUGAAUUCUCAGGUUGAAACUGAGCAAAGAACUUUCAACGUCCCUCCCCCACACACCCGACGCGCCGUCCCAGGUGGAUGCCCGCAAGGUCCAGGAUGCCAAGACUGCUUUUUGUUUGUUUUCUUUCGCCUCCUCCCUCUUAUGUCUGUAGAUUUGGGAUGCAGAGCAGGCGAUACUGGCGGAGGCCCCGGCGCGCUGUUCUCGCAGGGAAAAGCGUGCAAGGGCGUAUCUAUCAAGAGUAGGGGCUGGUCGAGAUUGCAGGCAUAGGAGGGCAGGUCCUCUGGAAAGGAGUGGUCCUUGUGACACCCCUCGUCGCACAACACCGGGACUCAGGGAACGAGGCGAAAAGAAGAGGACAGAGAAAGAACUGCGUUUGGCUGGGAAUUGAACCCGACUUAACUGCUGAUAAUGCAGUUAUGCGCACCACUAUGUCACCAGCGCUAACUGGCCGCACUUGAACUUAGGAGAUAGCCAACGCCUAAAAACGUCGACAGGAUCGUGGCCUCAGUGAUACGACUUCGGGGUUGAGCCAGAGUUAUAUGAAAGGCGGGCACCAGUGAGUCUGAGGGUCUGAGGUAGAAGCAACCGCUGCGGUGUGCCGAGGGCCCUUCAGUAAGCGGCGCGCGGCUCCCACCACCGCUAAAGCGCACCAGUCACCCCAUGUAAGACUGUGUGAUUAUACCGUCUACUGAUGAAGAAGCCAAGGUCUAGAGACGCUAACUAGGGGGUUUCCUGACUCACAGGCAGAGUCUAGAUUAAAUCUAACAUUUGUCCAGGGGGCAAAGAGUGCAGCGAGACCAUAACGACUUAUCUGCAGGAAAAAAAAAAAAUCCAAACACAUAAAAUUA